rnacentral:rRNA from 1 species
AUGGGGAUGACUCCCCUCCCAGUUUUUGUCCUCCUGUUAUUGAUUUGUUUCUGCAAGUCCGAUGACCGCCUAACACCGGCAAAGCCACUCUCACCCGGUGACAAGCUCGUCUCAAAUGGUGGCAUCUUUGCUCUCGGCUUCUUCUCCCUGACAAACUCAACGGCAAACUCAUACAUCGGCAUAUGGUACCACCACAUCCCCGAGCGAACAUACGUGUGGGUCGCAAACCGCGACAACCCAAUCGCCAGCAGUUCUCAUGGUAAGUUGGUUCUGACCAAUGGAUCUAACCUUGUCUUGUCAGACUCCAAAGGCCGCACUCUCUGGACAACAACGAACAACAUCGCUGCCGAUGGCCUCAAAGCUGUUGCUAUUUUGCUCGACUCCGGGAACUUGGUCAUCAGGUCGCCGAAUGGCACAGAUAUAUGGCAGAGCUUCCAUCAUCCAACCGACACCAUGCUCCCGAAUAUGAGUUUGCCGCUGAAGAACUACACCAACUUCGCCAAUCACCUCGUCGCCUGGAGGGGCCCUGAUGACCCAUCUACGAGUAACUACUCCCUGGGUGGUGACUCGAGCCUCCAGAUCUUCGCUUGGAAUGGGACAAGACCGUACUGGCGCAGAGCUGCGUUGGAUGGUGUAUUUGUCUAUGCGGUGUAUCAGGGCAACUCUGGCCCGAUCAUGUACCAAAACAUUGAAAGCAGAGGGGAUGAUUUUUACUUGACGUACACUGUCUCCAAAGGCACUCCAAGUAUGCGCGUGUUGCUGCACUACACGGGCAUGGUGAAGCUCCUGACAUGGAACGGAAACUCGUCGUCUUGGGAUGUUUUCUCAGAGCACCCCACUCCUAACUGCGACCGCUAUGCCUCGUGUGGCCCGUUCGGCUACUGCGAUAACACUCAAGCUGUUCCGACAUGCAAGUGUCUUGAUGGGUUUGAGUCUGAUGGUCUCGACUUUUCCGUAGGAUGCUGGAGAAAGAAGGAGCUGCAUUGUAGUGAAGAAGAUAGUUUCGUCACCUUGCCUAACACGAAGACGCCUGACGAUUUUUUGUACAUUAGGAAUAGAAGCUUCGACCAAUGCACAGCAGAAUGCAGCCGGAACUGCUCAUGCACUGCAUACGCUUAUGCUAACCUGACUAGUAUCGGCAGGACUAUAGACCAGUCGAGGUGCUUAGUUUGGAUGGGGGAGCUUAUUGACACCUCGAAGCGUCGUGAUGGUCUUGGUGAGAAUCUGUACCUAAGGAUUCCCAGCUUGGCAGUCAGCAAAAAGAAGACUGGCGCGCUGAAGAUUGUACUCCCAGUCAUUGCAAGCCUACUGAUACUUGUGUGCAUGUAUCUUAUCUGGAUGCGCAAGUUGAGAGGCAGGCGCCAGAACAAGGGACACAUGGAUUUUGGGAUGCAAGGACAACUGAGCAAUUCUGAUGAAGCGUACAAUCAGAAUUCAGAAUUUCUGCGGAUUAGCUUUCCAGACAUUGUCGCUGCUACGAAUGAUUUCUCCGACUCCAAUGUGCUUGGAAAAGGUGGCUUCGGCAGAGUAUACAAGGGAAUACUGGAAGGUGGCGGAGAAGUUGCUGUUAAAAGGCUUACCAAGUGUUCUGACCAAGGAAUAGAGCAUUUUGUAAAUGAAGUAGUUCUUAUCGGAAAACUGCAACACAGAAACUUAGUUAGACUUCUUGGUUACUGUAUCCAUGGAGAUGAGAAGCUGCUGAUGUACGAGUACUUGCCCAACAAAAGCUUAGACUACUUACUGUUUGAUGAUGCUAUAAAGUCUAUGCUUGAUUGGCCAACAAGGUUUAGGAUAAUCAAAGGGAUAGCUAGAGGACUAUUAUACCUCCACGAAGAUUCAAGAAUGACUAUAAUCCAUAGAGAUCUCAAAGCAAGCAACAUCUUGUUGGAUGCGGAUAUGAGACCCAAAAUAUCAGAUUUUGGCAUGGCAAGGAUCUUUGGUGACAACCAGCAACAAGCAAAUACUAGACAUGUUGUCGGGACAUACGGUUACAUGUCACCUGAAUAUGCGAUGAAAGGUGUGUUUUCUGUCAAAUCUGAUGCCUACAGCUAUGGUGUUCUGCUACUGGAGGUCGUGAGUGGAUUAAAGAUCAGCUCACCUCAUCAUCUUAUAAUGGAUUUUCGAAACCUCAUAGAUUAUGCAUGGAACUUAUUGAAGGACGGAAACACAAGGGAUUUCCUGGACACGGUGCUUCUGAAGAGCUGUUCAUUGCAUGAAGUUUCACUGUGCAUCCACGUCGGUCUCUUGUGCGUCCAGGACAGCCCAAGUGCUAGGCCACUGAUGUCGCUCGUCGUGUCUAUGCUGGACAACGAGGUCAUGCCACUUCCAACACCGAAGCAACCUUUAUAUUUCGUUGGAAAAAAACAUGAAGCGGAAGAAGGAAGAGAUAACUCGGUUAACACCGCUAGUUUGACGACCUUGGCAGGACGCUAG